UACGGAGGGGGCUAGCGUUGUUCGGAAUUACUGGGCGUAAAGCGCGCGUAGGCGGAUCAGCAAGUUAGGGGUGAAAUCCCGGGGCUCAACCCCGGAACUGCCCUUAAAACUGUUGGUCUAGAGUUCGAGAGAGGUGAGUGGAAUUCCGAGUGUAGAGGUGAAAUUCGUAGAUAUUCGGAGGAACACCAGUGGCGAAGGCGGCUCACUGGCUCGAUACUGACGCUGAGGUGCGAAAGCGUGGGGAGCAAACAGG
rnacentral:rRNA from 1 species